rnacentral:rRNA from 1 species
CUCAGGAUGAACGCUAGCGGCAGGCUUAAUACAUGCAAGUCGAGGGGGCAGCAAUGUCACCGGCGAACGGGUGCGUAACGCGUAUGCAACCUACCUACAUCAGGGGGAUAGCCCUAGGAAACUGGGAUUAACACCGCAUAAUAUAUGACAAGGCUAUCUUGUUAUAUUGAAAUAUUUAUAGGAUGUAGAUGGGCAUGCGUAGGAUUAGCUAGUUGGUAAGGUAACGGCUUACCAAGGCUACGAUCCUUAGGGGCUCUGAGAGGAGUAUCCCCCACACUGGCACUGAGAUACGGGCCAGACUCCUACGGGAGGCAGCAGUAGGGAAUAUUGGGCAAUGGAGGCAACUCUGACCCAGCCAUGCCGCGUGCAGGAAGACGGUCCUCUGGAUUGUAAACUGCUUUUGAAUGGGAAGAAUGUGUGGCUUGCGAGCUAUAAUGACGGUACCAUUAGAAUAAGCCACGGCUAACUACGUG